rnacentral:rRNA from 1 species
AAGUCGUGAGGCUAAGCUAAUCUCUUAAAGCCGUUCUCAGUUCGGAUUGUAGGCUGCAACUCGCCUACAUGAAGUUGGAAUCGCUAGUAAUCGCGGAUCAGCAUGCCGCGGUGAAUACGUUCCCGGGCCUUGUACACACCGCCCGUCACACCAUGAGAGUUUGUAACACCCAAAGCCGGUGAGAUAACCUUCGGGAGUCAGCCGUCUAAGGUGGGACAGAUGAUUAGGGUGAAGUCGUAACAAGGUAGCCGUAGGAGAACCUGCGGCUGGAUCACCUCCUUUCUAAGGAA